rnacentral:rRNA from 1 species
AAAUUGAAGAGUUUGAUCAUGGCUCAGAUUGAACGCUGGCGGCAGGCCUAACACAUGCAAGUCGAACGGUAACAGGAAGCAGCUUGCUGCUUCGCUGACGAGUGGCGGACGGGUGAGUAAUGUCUGGGAAACUGCCUGGUGGAGGGGGAUAACUACUGGAAACGGUGGCUAAUACCGCAUAACGUCGCAAGACCAAAGAGGGGGACCUUCGGGCCUCUUGCCAUCAGAUGUGCCCAGAUGGGAUUAGCUUGUUGGUGGGGUAACGGCCC